rnacentral:rRNA from 1 species
CUCCUCCUUACCUAUAAGGUAAGUUGGGAAAGAUUUAUCGCUAAAGGAUGGGGCUUUAUUGUAUCAGCUAGUUGGUGGGGUAAUGGCCUACCAAGGCUAUGACGCAUACCUGGUCUGAGAGGAUGAUCAGGCACACUGGAAUUGAGACACGGUCCAGACUCCUACGGGAGGCAGCAGUGGGGAAUAUUGCACAAUGGAGGAAACUCUGAUGCAGCAACGCCGCGUGGAGGAUGACGCAUUUCGGUGUGUAAACUCCUUUUAUAGGGGAAGAUAAUGACGGUACCCUAUGAAUAAGCACCGGCUAACUCCGUGCCAGCAGCCGCGGUAAUACGGAGGGUGCAAGCGUUACUCGGAAUCACUGGGCGUAAAGGAUGCGUAGGCUGGAAAUCAAGUCGAGAGUGAAAUCCAACGGCUCAACCGUUGAACUGCUCUCGAAACUGGUUACCUAGAAUAUGGGAGAGGUAGAUGGAAUUAGUGGUGUAGGGGUAAAAUCCGUAGAUAUCACUAGGAAUACCGAUUGCGAAGGCGAUCUACUGGAACAAUUAUGACG